rnacentral:lncRNA from 1 species
UCUCGCGUUGCCCCCUGGGUGGGGCGGGUAGGUGUGGAAACAGGAAGAGAACUAGAACUGGAAGUAAAGCAUUGAAGAUGUGACUGAAUUGCUGCAAUCUCAUGAUCAAAUUUGAAUGGAUGAGGAGUUGCUUUUUAGGGAUGAGCAAAGAAAGUGGUUUCUCGAGAUGGAAUCUACUGGUGAAGUUGCUGUGAACAUUGUUAAAAUGCCAAUAAAGGAUUUAGGAAUUACAGAAACCUGGUUGAUAAAGCAGUGCCAGGGUGUGAGAGAGUUGACUUCAAUUUUGAAAUAAGUUCCACUGGCUGGGUGUGGUGGCUCACACCUGCAAUCCCAGUACUUUAGGAGGCCGAGACUGGUAGAUCAUUUGAGGUCAGGAGUUCAAGACCAGCCUUGCCAACAUGGUGAAACCCCACCUCUACCAAAUUAGCCAGGUGUGGUGCACACCUGUAGUCCCAGCUACUUGGGAAGCUGAGGCAGGAGAAUCUCUUGAACC